rnacentral:misc_RNA from 1 species
ACUUACCCAUCUAAUUAACCAUGGUGGAAACCACAACCAAAGGCAUGACCAUUAUGCUCCCCCUAUUGCUUCUUUCCCCUUUCUUCGCCACCAUCUCUAUUGAAGCUUACCCUACCAUAUUUUGAACCUCAUACUUACCACCAAGCUGUUAAGUUUGAUCAUUGGGAAGAGGCAAUGCAGAGUGAACUAGUUGCCUUAGAGUCAAAUUAGACUUGGGUUAUUACUCCACUACCUGUAGGGGCUUAACUGGUUGGUUGCAAGUGGGUCUACAAGGUGAAAUUCAAAGCAGAUGGCAUUGUUGAGCGGUGUAAGGCCAGGCUUGUGGCUAAAGGAUAUACAUAAAGAGCAGCGUUUGAUUGUCAAGAGACCUUUAGCCUUGUAGCCAAACAUACUAUUGUUAGAACAUUCCUUGUGCUUGCAGCUGUGUAUGGUUGGCAUUUAUCAGAUCUGGUAGAGGAGGUCUAUAUGGAGAUUCUCCACUUGGGCAUAAGCUUAAGGGGGAGUAUGGGGAUACUUCUAAUCUGUUUUGCAAGCUUUAGAAGUCCUUAUAUGGACUAAAACAGGCUUCCAGACAUUGGAAUAUAAAGUUUACCAAAAGCUUGUUGAAGGAAGGGUUUCAAAAGUCAAAGUCAGAUUAUUUUUUUGUUUGCUAAACAAUCAAGUGAAGGAUUUAUUUCUUCACAUGUGUAUGUGGAUGACAUCAUAAUUGGGAGUAGUAAUAAAGACUUGGUUAACCAAUUGAAAUCUAAUCUGAGUUCCUAUUUUAAACUGAAGGAUUUGGGAAUUCUACAUUAUUUUCUAGAGUUGGAAAUUGCAAGAUCUAGUAAGGGAAUUGUGGUAUCUCGAAGGAAGUUUGUUUUAGAGAUUCUAGGAAAGUAUGCUGUUCUUGGAUCUAAGCCAUAUUCUGUUCCUAUGGAAGUUAAUAUAAAGUUAAUUCAUUCAGAAGACAGAUUGCUUGCAAAUACUAUUAACUAUAGACAACUGGUGGCAAAUUGAUGUAUGUUGCUUUAACAAGGCCAGACAUAGCCUAUGGUGUUCAUGUUUUGUCUCAAUUCAUGGAAGGCCUUCUGAAUCACAUCUAGAUGCACUGAUGCAGUUUUUAAAAGUUCUCAAAUAUUUGAAAGGUGCACCAGAUCAAGGCUUGUUUUCGUCUUCCAAAUCUGUAACUCAAACUUACAGCUUAUUCUGACGAUGAUUGGGCUGGUUGUUGUGUCUCUGCAUAUUUUUGGGCAAUCCUUGAUCUGCUGGAAGUCUGAGAAACAGACUACAGUGUCUAGAAGUUCUGCAGAAGCAGAAUACAGGUCUAUGGCUGCAACUACUUUAGAAGUUCUUUGGUUGAUCUCCUUAUUAGAAGAUUUCAAUUUAAAAGUUUCUCAACCUGUGCAAGUAUUUUGUGAUAGCAUGUCGGCCAUUAACAUUUCCAAAAACCCAGUCUUCCAUGAGAGGACUAAACAUAUUGAAAUAGACCACCAUUUUAUCAGGGAGAGGAUUUAAUACAGCUAGAGUAUUUGAGUACCUAAGAGCAAAUAGCAGACCUGUUCACUAAAGCACUACAUCCUGCUCAAUUAAAAUUUCUUUUGAGCAAGUUGAAUAUGAGCAACAUAUAUGUUCAACUUGAGGGAGAGUAUCAAUCAAAACAGCAGGAAGAGCUUACAAAGAGUUGCAGCAGAGAAGUUGAUUAGGACAAAUUAGUUUAGUUUGUUAUUUAUUUUAUUCUUUUAAUUUUGCCAGUUCAGCUAUAAUACAGCUGGACACACUUCUCUCAGGGAUAUAUAAACACCAUACUCAUUGAUUGCAAUACGUGUGGUUCACAAUUCAUUUCUUUCAACUGUUCACUCUGUAAUAUGUUGACUUUGACUGAUGAAGGUGAUGUGAUGGAUGCCAU